rnacentral:rRNA from 1 species
ACCAGACUCCUACGGGAGGCAGCAGUGGGGGAUAUUGCACAAUGGGGGAAACCCUGAUGCAGCGACGCCGCGUGGGCGAAGAAGUAUUUCGGUAUGUAAAGCCCUAUCAGCAGGGAAGAAGAAAUGACGGUACCUGAGUAAGAAGCACCGGCUAGAUACGUGCCAGCAGCCGCGGUAAUACGUAGGGGGCAAGCGUUAUCCGGAUUCACUGGGUGUAAAGGGAGCGUAGACGGCGACGCAAGUCUGGAGUGAAAGCCCGGGGCCCAACCCCGGGACUGCUCUGGAAACUGCGUCGCUGGAGUACGGGAGGGGCAGGCGGAAUUCCUGGUGUAGCGGUGAAAUGCGUAGAUAUCAGGAGGAACACCGGCGGCGAAGGCGGCCUGCUGGACCGUGACUGACGUUGAGGCUCGAGAGCGUGGGGAGCAAACAGGAUUAGAUACCCGGGUAC